UGUCAUCUCUAUCACUUAUACACUACAGUAUAGUUGACAUUGUAAAUGACAAUUUAAACAGAGUCUUCCAUUGAGUUGGUGGUAGUCAACAGCAUCUCAAACACACCCAAUAAGACCUAUAGUACUGAUGUCGCAUUCAGAGGGGUCCUUAUCGGUGCCAUGAGAAGACUGCAGGAGACCACUGCAGGAUUCAAUUUCACCUACACAGAGGACCGCAACUAUGGUCCCUUCCUGGUAUUGGCUGUUACAUCCCAGAACCAAAUGACUGCAUCAUCCUGAGAUUUACUGUGUUCAUCCUGGGCUCGCAUUCUGUGAGUGGCAACGGUCAGAAUUCUGGGAAGCUGACAGAAUUUCCCCUAUACAGAGGACCCCAGCUAUGGCCCCUUCCUGGUGAAUGUGAAUGGUGUGGCUGGUAACAAUACUGAGAACUUUCUGGGAGAUCCUUGUAUAGACUGGGAGGAAUGGGACCACAAUCAGACCUGAUGUCGAUGAGUAAUGAUUCUAAGAAGAAUGAAGAUUGAAGAUGAGGAUGAAGAAAAUGAAAACACCUCUUUGAAGACAGUUAAACAAAUGUGGAACUGCUAGAAAUAACAGUGUAACUUACGUUGCCAUGACAAAGACCAAAGCCGGCGGGAGUACCUUUGAGGAUAGUGGUGUCUCUCUAUCACAGGUGAAGGAUCUUUUAAAUGAACAAAAAGAGUUCUACAAACAGUUGUUUUGUCCAAAUACUGGUGGUUUCAACUAAUAAAAUAAUGGACGACCUGAUCAGAGAGGUCCAGGACCUGAAGGACAGCUUGCAGUUCUCCCUGGGUCAGCUCGAUGAGUUGAAACAGAAGAAUGGCAAGAUUACAGCAAUCUGUAAGUCAUUGAAAGAGGACAUCAGUUCUGUGUUUGAAUCCAUGAUAACAAUGACGGAUAAAUCAUCUCAAGGGAUAAUCAAGGCAGAAUAAUGGUUGUGGACGGAAUUGCAGAAUCUCCAUGAGACCUGGACAGAGUCUGAGGACAAAGUGAGGGAAAUGAUCUCUGAGAAAUUGAAGAUGGACCACAGGAAGAUUGAGGUGGAGCGUGCCCAUCGGACUGAAAAACCCACCACUGGCCCAGGUGACAAGCCCAGGCCAAUAGGUAGCUGUUCAAGGACAAGGUAGCUGUUCUGGAGAGAGCCAAGAACUUGAAAGGGAAGUAUAUAUUCCUCAACGAGGACUAUCCUGAAGCUGUGCGCCAGAAGAGGAAAGAAUCCCAGCCAUGAAAGCAGCCAGAGCGUGUGGGGACAUUGCUUACAUCCGCUAUGACAGGCUCAUUGUCCACCCUCCCUCCCAGAGGCCUGGAAGGGAUGAGAGAGCAAAGCCUAUGGGUUCGUAGCUUCAACCCUGCAGCACAAACACACACACCAAUUGAUUAAUGGACUGCUGAAUGUACAUUUUUUCUCUUGCUUUGUUUGUUCUUUUCCAUUUUAUGUCUAUAUCUGAUGUUGUGCCGUUGUUAUUGCCUCUUACAGCUACCACCCUACUUUUUUCAAUUUCCGCCUGAAGACAUACCCAAAUCUAACUGCCUGUAGCUCAGGCCCAGGACCAAGGAUAUGCACAUUCUAGGUUUCAUUUGAAAGAAAACACUCUGAAGUUUGUGUAAAUG
ensembl:lncRNA